rnacentral:lncRNA from 1 species
GUUUUUUUAAACUGGAGAAAUGCUGUGUGUAGAAGUAGAAUUGUUAACCCGCCUCUGAGAACAGUGUACCGGCUGUGCUUGUUCAGUGGAUCAAGGAGGUGGGAGGGAAGGAACUGCAAAAAGAUUCCAUUUGUGUGCUAGACAUUUCUAGCUUACCCAUCCCCCUGUGUGUUGUGUGCAUCUCAUGUAACUUUGCUAUGCUGUAUAUAUUGUACAUACUGGACAAACGAGUCCUAUGAUAUCUAGUCUCUAGGUAUUAAAGAGGUUGCCAAUGUAUGACAAAAGUAGUUAGUAAACUCACACAUUCUGUAUACUCUGUUAGUUCAUAGCAAGGUUGUCUUCUGAAGAGUUGUGAAAGUGUAUCAUCCAAGUGACGGGUGCCUAUGUCACGGGACACAAGAUGGGCUGAAGGGGAAGAAAGGUCGGAGACCAGAAUGUCCUCACCAGAAGACACUUGGAGAUCUAACUAGUUACAUGGUCCAGGAUGAAGGGCUACCUAAGAAGCACAGGUUGACUGAGAAACUCCGGAUAGGAAGGUUGACUUGAAUGACGACGCCUGUGGAAGCUUCUGGUGAGAUCCCCAUAGCGAAUCCGCUGGGAUCAACCACUUUCAGACCACAGGGGCACUGACCUGAAGGUGGGCUCUUCCAUCCCUACUUUUUCCUCUUUUCCAUCUCAUAAAACCCCAAGACCACCAAGCCAUUUCACAGAGAGACUGUGGCACUUCUGUCGUUCUGAUUAAAGGACACUUCUGCUUCUGGAGUUGCAUGUGUGCUUUGUUACAUUUCCAUGCUGCCUCCAUCAAACCAGAGCUAGCGCCCUCUAGUCGUUUUUUUUUUUUUAACGUUUU